UACGUAGGGUGCAAGCGUUAAUCGGAAUUACUGGGCGUAAAGCGUGCGCAGGCGGUUAUGCAAGACAGAUGUGAAAUCCCCGGGCUCAACCUGGGAACUGCAUUUGUGACUGCAUGGCUAGAGUACGGUAGAGGGGGAUGGAAUUCCGCGUGUAGCAGUGAAAUGCGUAGAUAUGCGGAGGAACACCGAUGGCGAAGGCAAUCCCCUGGACCUGUACUGACGCUCAGGCACGAAAGCGUGGGGAGCAAACAGG
rnacentral:rRNA from 1 species